UACGAAGGGGGCUAGCGUUGUUCGGAUUUACUGGGCGUAAAGCGCACGUAGGCGGAUAUUUAAGUCAGGGGUGAAAUCCCGGGGCUCAACCCCGGAACUGCCUUUGAUACUGGGUAUCUUUGAGUCCGGAAGAGGUGAGUGGAAUUCCGAGUGUAGAGGUGAAAUUCGUAGAUAUUCGGAAGAACACCAGUGGCGAAGGCGGCUCACUGGACCGGCAUUGACGCUGAGGUGCGAAAGCGUGGGGAGCAAACAGG
rnacentral:rRNA from 1 species